GGGCUUAACCAGAUGCGAGCUGGGGUCUGUACUCUGUAUUUAUUUUCCCUCUCUUGAAAUUAUAUGUUUUCAAUAUCGUUGCCAGCUGCAGGUUUAUCAAACUAAAAAAAAAAAAUGAAGUAUUAAUCCUUCUAUAGUGAUAUUUGUUGGUCUUUUCAAAUUUAUAAUUCUUCUUAUGUACUUUUAGUGCUGCAUAUAAUUGUAGGAAAAAGAGGCUGUUAUUAUGGGACUAUGUCAACCAUGAGAAUAUUUCCUCAGUUGUACCCAUCAUAACUGAAUCAAGUCUUGUGCCUUUCUCUGCUUUGUUUUGGUUAUCAUUUAAUCUUCUAAUAUUAAUGUGGUCAUGAGAAAUUUAAUUUAUUAAUAUUUAUUUAGAUUUUUUUAAUUGAUUAUAGUUAAUGAAAUUUUAUGAUGUUCUUUUUUUUUUAUUUUUUUUUAUU
rnacentral:misc_RNA from 1 species